AUACUUACCUGGCAGGGGAGAUAUCAUGAUCAUGAAGGUGGUUUUCCCAGGGCGAGGCUUAUCCAUUGCACUCCGGAUGUGCUGACCCCUGCCAUUUCCCCAAAUGUGGGAAACUCAACUGCACAAUUUGUGGUAGUGGGGGACUGCGUUCGUGCUUUCUCCUG
ensembl:snRNA U1 U1 spliceosomal RNA